GGAAGUAGUUCAGUGGUAGAACACCACCUUGCCAAGGUGGGGGUCGCGGGUUCGAAUCCCGUCUUCCGCUUAUACCA
rnacentral:tRNA from 1 species